AGCGUGUGGUUUAAUUCGUAUGCUACACGAAGAACCGUUACCAGGGUUUGACGAUGCAAGUGGUAGGAAACUGAAAAGGGACCGGACCUUCCGGGGAGCUUGCACAGGUGCUGCAUGGCUGUCGUCAGCUCGUGUCGUGAGAUGUUCGGUUAAGUCCGCUAACGAGCGCAACCCUCACUGUGUGUUAUAUGUGUCACACGGGACUGCCGGUUUUAAGCCGGAGGAAGGUGGGAUGACGUCAAGUCAGCAUGGCCUUUAUAUCCUGGGCUACACACACGCUACAAUGGUCGGUACAAUAGGUUGCCAAGCCGCGAGGCGGAGCCAAUCCAAAAAAGCCGGCCUCAGUUCAGAUUGUAGGCUGCAACUCGCCUGCAUGAAGAUGGAGUUGCUAGUAACCGCAGGUCAGCAAUACUGCGGUGAAUACGUUCCCGGGUCUU
rnacentral:rRNA from 1 species